rnacentral:rRNA from 1 species
CAGCAGCAGCCACGGUAAUACGGAGGAUCCAAGCGUUAUCCGGAUUUAUUGGGUUUAAAGGGUGCGUAGGUGGCCUGUUAAGUCAGGGGUGAAAGACGGUAGCUCAACUAUCGCAGUGCCCUUGAUACUGAUGGGCUUGAAUGAACUAGAGGUAGGCGGAAUGUGACAAGUAGCGGUGAAAUGCAUAGAUAUGUCACAGAACACCAAUUGCGAAGGCAGCUUACUAUGGUUUUAUUGACACUGAGGCACGAAAGCGUGGGGAUCAAACAGGAUUAGAUACCCGCGUAGUCCCUGUCUCUUAUAA